rnacentral:rRNA from 1 species
UACGGGGGGAGCAAGCGUUGUUCGGAUUUAUUGGGCGUAAAGGGCGCGUAGGCGGCCACCGCAAGUCAGUUGUGAAAUCUCUGGGCUUAACCCAGAACGGUCAGCUGAUACUGCGGGGCUAGAGUGCAGAAGGGGCAACAGGAAUUCUCGGUGUAGCGGUGAAAUGCGUAGAUAUCGAGAGGAACACCUGCGGCGAAGGCGGGUUGCUGGGCUGACACUGACGCUGACAGCGCGAAAGCUAGGGGAGCGAACGGG